GCUGGGUGUGGUGGCUCACGCCUGUAAUCCCAGCACUUUAGGGGGCUGAGGCGGGCGGAUCACCUGAGGUCAGGAGUUCAAGACCAGCCUGGCCAACAUGGUGAAACCCCGUCUCUA
rnacentral:SRP_RNA from 1 species